ensembl:rRNA 5S_rRNA 5S ribosomal RNA
GCUUACGGCCAUACCACCUUAGGCACGCCCGAUCUCGUCUGAUCUCGGAAGCUAAGAUGGGUCGGGCCUGGUUAGUACUUAGAUGGGUGACCGCCUGGGAAUACCAGGUGCUGUAAGCA